rnacentral:rRNA from 1 species
AGCUAAGUAGUUGAUCCUGGCUCGAGGACGAACGCUGGCGGCGUGCUUAACACAUGCAAGUCGAACGGACGGACACCCUUCGGGGGUGCGAGUUAGUGGCGGACGGGUGAGUAACGCGUGAGUAACCUGCCUUGGAGUGGGGAAUAACACAGGGAAACUUGUGCUAAUACCGCAUAACAUCGUGAGAUGGCAUCUUCUUACGAUCAAAGAUUUAUUGCUCCAAGAUGGGCUCGCGUCCGAUUAGAUAGUUGGCGGGGUAAUAGCCCACCAAGUCGACGAUCGGUAGCCGGACUGAGAGGUUGGCCGGCCACAUUGGGACUGAGACACGGCCCAGACUCCUACGGGAGGCAGCAGUGGGGAAUAUUAGGCAAUGGGGGAAACCCUGACCUAGCGACGCCGCGUGAAGGAUGAAGGUUUUCGGAUUGUAAACUUCUUUGGCAGGGGACGAUAAUGACGGUACCCUGAGAACAAGCCACGGCUAACUACGUGCC